UGCGAGGCGGCGCGGUGCCCGAUUGAUCAGUCCGCGAGCGAGAUAGCUCGCUCGCGGCUAUAUAGGAGUGUUCCGUAGGAACGUUCGGGGCUCUCAAAGCAUUUUAGUUAGUUGCGUGAUGCUUAGUAGAGCCUGUUUUUGGAAAGUGAAGACUGUUCUUGUAGGUCAUAUAACACUCAGCACAAUGGAACAUUGAGAGUGUGACGUCCGGACUUAUCUUGAAACAUUAAUAAUAUAUUAGUAUAGAUCGGAGGCCGGACUUGUCUGAUUUCAAAUAUUCACUAUGUUAAAAUAUUCACCAGAAACGACAUGUCGUUAGAGAGUCUUAAAAUCGAUGGAAUCAACUAUAGACAAGAGAAACCAUUGUAAUCUCAAUGCGCAUAAGGCACCCCGCUGCUAACAUAAACAAAACAACAGGAGCAUGAAACCUUAAAUCCAAACACCACUCAGUACCGACGCGGUGGCAUCAUACCGAUGGAAUUAAUUUCUUCCAUCUCCAACGACUCCAUCAGCCAACCAAAAAACGACACUCUCAGCGACAAAGCAACGUAUAAAAACGCGCGCAUUCGUUGAGAAGUCUACCCCUCAUUUCUCGAACGUUGCGAAAUCGAAAUUGUAAUCGCGGACUGCACCAUUCCGCGCAGCGCCGGAACGCCCGAGACCGAGCCAGGAGAACGAGCGGCUCUGAUUUCUCACCAGAUUCAUCGAUCGUUUCGCCAGACUCCGAAGACCCAAGGUAAACUCGGUGAAAAGCAGAGUGACCUAAAAGCGGGAGUCAUCACUCUGUUGACCGUCCACAAGAGCGGCGGUACGACACCGGUCUUACUUACCAACCACGGGGAACACCCAACACAUACGCCGACGGCAAGGCGGGUCGUACGAACGAAUCCAGGCUUCCUUUGCGUCCGGCACGCCACAUCGCAGGCCAGGUGGUGCGUCGCUGGAGGUGGCGCACCACUAUGCACCUAAAUAAAUCAACUUACUUUCGUAUUUGCCACAACAAUGGAAAAAAAAAUGAAUUCCAUGUCAUCUAUAAAUAUUUUUAUUUGAAGAAGUUAAUCGCCGCGCAGAUUAAAGCCGAGUUGAAUGAAGUUCAUGAAGACUUUGCACCAGCAGCAUUGAAAACUGUUUAUUUCUGGAUAAAUGAGUUUAAAUAUGGCUGUAGAAAAUGCACUGAGGAGAACAUGAAUCGCGCCCCAGACGCCUAAUUGAAGUUACCACGGAGAAAAUCAUUGAAAAAAUCCAUGGUAUCGUGAUGGAAGAGACCGCCGAGUGCAUGUGCGUGAGAUUGCUACUAUAGACAUCUCAACUUAAAUGGGUACACGAUAUCCUACACGAAAAAUUGACUUUGAAAAAGCUGUCUGCGCGAUGAAUAUUGCGAUUGUUGACUGUCGAUAAUAAACGCACUCGAAUUGACAUUUUAAUGCAGUGUUUGGCGAUAUUUAAUCGCAAUUCGAAGAAUAUUUUUUGCGUCGAUUCGUCAUUGUGGACGAAAUUGGGAUCCACCAUUUCACGUCAGAGUCCAAACAGCAGUCAAAAUGGACAAUGACUGGUGAAAGUAUGUCGAAGACCAUUUUGUCGGCUGGGAAGGUGAUGUCACUAUUUUUUGAGAUUCUCAGAGAAACAUUAUGAUUGACCACUUGGAAAAGGGCAAGACAAUAACUAAUUUCGAAACCCAAUUCAUACAAUUUUACCAUUGCAAUAGUCGACGUAUGGCGAUGUACAGCGCAUUGUCCUAUUGAAAAAACACAUUUGCACACCAAUCUUAGCUGCUUUUUCUUCAAAUUUUUCAAACGAUCCAAUAAUGCCGCAUAAUAGUCACAUAUUGAAAAAUAAAAUUGAUUUUAUCU